rnacentral:rRNA from 1 species
UACGUAGGGCGCAAGCGUUGUCCGGAAUUAUUGGGCGUAAAGAGCUCGUAGGCGGUUUGUCGCGUCUGCUGUGAAAACUCGGGGCUUAACCCCGGGCCUGCAGUGGGUACGGGCAGACUAGAGUGCGGUAGGGGAGACUGGAAUUCCUGGUGUAGCGGUGAAAUGCGCAGAUAUCAGGAGGAACACCGGUGGCGAAGGCGGGC